rnacentral:rRNA from 1 species
UACAGAGGGGGCAAGCGUUAUUCGGAAUUAUUGGGCGUAAAGGGCGCGUAGGCGGCCUGGCAAGUGGGAGGUGAAAUCCCUCGGCUUAACCGAGGAACUGCCUCCCAAACUGCUUGGCUUGAGACCGGGAGAGGUGAGUGGAAUUCCCAGUGUAGCGGUGAAAUGCGUAGAUAUUGGGAGGAACACCAGUGGCGAAGGCGGCUCACUGGACCGGUACUGACGCUGAGGCGCGAAAGCGUGGGGAGCAAACGGG